CUGUCAGGAUCGGGAGAACCGGUGAAAUCCCGGUGCCGAAGGAGCAACCGCCCCGGUAAACUCUCAGGCGAACGGACCGUUCUGGCAAA
rnacentral:ncRNA from 1 species